rnacentral:rRNA from 1 species
CCUACGGGAGGCUGCAGUGGGGAAUAUUGGACAAUGGGGGGAACCCUGAUCCAGCCAUGCCGCGUGUGUGAAGAAGGCCCUCGGGUUGUAAAGCACUUUCAGUGAGGAAGAACGCCUGGUGGUUAAUACCCAUCAGGAAAGACAUCACUCACAGAAGAAGCACCGACUAACUCCGUGCCAGCAGCCGCGGUAAUACGGAGGGUGCGAGCGUUAAUCGGAAUUACUGGGCGUAAAGCGCGCGUAGGUGGCUUGAUAAGCCGGUUGUGAAAGCCCCGGGCUCAACCUGGGAACGGCAUCCGGAACUGUCAAGCUAGAGUGCAGGAGAGGAAGGUAGAAUUCCCGGUGUAGCGGUGAAAUGCGUAGAGAUCGGGAGGAAUACCAGUGGCGAAGGCGGCCUUCUGGACUGACACUGACACUGAGGUGCGAAAGCGUGGGUAGCAAACAGGAUUAGAUACCCCUGUAGUC